rnacentral:rRNA from 1 species
AGUGAACGCUGGCGGUAGGCCUAACACAUGCAAGUCGAACGGCAGCACAGUAAGAGCUUGCUCUUACGGGUGGCGAGUGGCGGACGGGUGAGGAAUACAUCGGAAUCUACUUUUUCGUGGGGGAUAACGUAGGGAAACUUACGCUAAUACCGCAUACGACCUACGGGUGAAAGCAGGGGAUCUUCGGACCUUGCGCGAUUGAAUGAGCCGAUGUCGGAUUAGCUAGUUGGCGGGGUAAAGGCCCACCAAGGCGACGAUCCGUAGCUGGUCUGAGAGGAUGAUCAGCCACACUGGAACUGAGACACGGUCCAGACUCCUACGGGAGGCAGCAGUGGGGGAUAUUGGACAAUGGGCGCAAGCCUGAUCCAGCCAUACCGCGUGGGUGAAGAAGGCCUUCGGGUUGUAAAGCCCUUUUGUUGGGAAAGAAAAGCAGCAGGUUAAUACCCCGCUGUUCUGACGGUACCCAAAGAAUAAGCACCGGCUAACUUCGU